rnacentral:rRNA from 1 species
CCUGCAUAGCAGAACGACCCGUGAAUGUGUUAUCAUACAAAACAACGAGAGGGCGCGGGUUUAGACCGUCCCAACUUUCUCGAUGCCUUGGUGCGUUUGGUCUUGCCACAUCCCCCGUUUUGGAGGGUGACAAGCAUGUUCCAUCCACACAAAGGCAAAACCAACAACCCCCGGCGUGAAUUGCGCCAAGGAAUUAAAACUAAAAGAGGGCACGCUACUGUCGCAGACCCGUUUGCGGUGUUUGUGCGGCAGUGUCGUCUGCUACUUUUGUCGUGAAAAACAAAACGACUCUCGGCAACGGAUAUCUCGGCUCUCGCAUCGAUGAAGAACGUAGCGAAAUGCGAUACUUGGUGUGAAUUGCAGAAUCCCGCGAACCAUCGAGUCUUUGAACGCAAGUUGCGCCCCAAGCCAUUAGGCCGAGGGCACGUCUGCCUGGGUGUCACGCAUCGUCGCCCCCAUCAACACUGAGUGUGGGCGGAAAUUGGCUUCCCGUGCGCUCAUCGCUCGCGGUUGGCCUAAAAAUGAGUCUUCGGCGAUGAAGUGCCGCGACAAUCGGUGGGAAUGCUUUCAGCUGCCUCGUUCGUAGUCGUGUGCGCUCGUCGAUUAGGACAUCAUGACCCUUUUUGCAUCAAACUGUUGAUGCUCGCAUCGCGACCCCAGGUCAGGCGGGAUUACCC